rnacentral:lncRNA from 1 species
UGUAUUCUGUUCGUACCAGUGCUUUUGCUUGCGCUGGGCUGGAAAUCAUCCCUCCCCUUGUUUGCGUUUUAGCGCCACGAAAACCGUGAAAGAAGCUACGGCCUUUGGGAACGAUGCCUUCUUCUUUCUUUGACUUUCUUUUAACUGGGCUUUGUAGCCUGAGCCAUGGUGUUGGAAAUGGGAGGAAAGGUGAGAAGGAGUCUUCCUCAGUACUGCCCUCAGAAGUCCUCAAACUCAUAGUACUUCGUUCUCCUUGUAACACCAUUGUGUAAUCAAUAUCAAGAAAGCAAGAAGUACGCACUUGGGAAUUACUUGCCUAAUUUGUGAACCUGAGAUUCUCGUCUGUAAUAUAAUAAAAUUAGAGAUUUUAUGUGUUUAUGAUAAUUUGGGAUAAACGAAGGUGUGGACAUUUGGAAACAAUCUGGUCCCAAGGAGAAAGAAACCUGAACAACAUUCAAUACAAGCCUGUUUAUUUCUGAUAUGCUUGUUUAGGGCUUUAGCUCAAAUUCGAGAGAGGUCUUUGAUGACCCAACCUGUAACUGGUGUCGUCAUUCUGUACCUCGUUGCCAAGUGUACUUUUCUUCAAAACGCUAUUUGAAAU